rnacentral:rRNA from 1 species
AACGCUGGCGGCGUGCUUAACACAUGCAAGUCGAACGAGAAUCUGCGGAAAGAGGAUUCGUCCAAUUGAAGCAGAGGACAGUGGCGGACGGGUGAGUAACGCGUGAGGAACCUGCCUUUCAGAGGGGGACAACAGUUGGAAACGACCGCUAAUACCGCAUGACACAUCGGAGUCGCAUGGCUCUGAUGUCAAAGAUUUAUCGCUGAAAGAUGGCCUCGCGUCUGAUUAGAUAGUUGGUGAGGUAACGGCCCACCAAGGCGACGAUCAGUAGCCGGACUGAGAGGUUGAACGGCCACAUUGGGACUGAGAUACGGCCCAGACUCCUACGGGAGGCAGCAGUGGGGAAUAUUGGGCAAUGGGCGCAAGCCUGACCCAGCAACGCCGCGUGAAGGAAGAAGGCUUUCGGGUUGUAAACUUCUUUUGUCAGGGACGAGCAGAAGACGGUACCUGACGAAUAAGCCACGGCUAACUACGUG